rnacentral:rRNA from 1 species
GAUGAACGCUGGCGGCGUGCCUAAUACAUGCAAGUCGAGCGAACGGACGAGAAGCUUGCGUCUUUGAUGUUAGCGGCGGACGGGUGAGUAACACGUGGAAACCUACCUAUAAGUCUGGGAAACCUUAGGAAAAUCGUAGCUAAUACCGGAUAAUAUUCUGAACCGCAUGGGUCAAAAGGAAAAGUCGGGCUUGCUGGGACGUAUAGAUGGCUUCGCGCUGCAUUAGCUGGGUGGUGAGGUAACGGCCUACUAAGGCGGAGAUGCAUUGCCGACCUGAGAGGGUGAUAGGCCACACGGGAACGUGGACAGGCACAAGGGGCCUACGGGAGGCAGCAGUAGGCAAUCUUCCGCAGCGGUGGAGAACCUUGCACAACGACGCUGCGUGAGUUAUGAAGAUCCUCGGUUCGUAAUACUCUCAUACGAGUUAAGAACAUAUUUGUCAUUAGCUGUAGACAUCUUGACGGUAACUGGUCAGGAAGCAACGGCUAACUACGUG